CAUGUUGGCCCAGUGCAGGGUUGUCGUGUUGAGGUUCUGUGGCCUUCUCGGUGGUGACGACCACGCGAGAGCGCGCUGCGGAGCGCGCGCGUGAGGCUGGCGUGACAGUGCCCAGUGGGCGUGGAGUGCCAGCCCUUGUGAGGUGGGAGUA
rnacentral:SRP_RNA from 11 species